rnacentral:rRNA from 1 species
UGGCGAACGGGUGAGUAACACGUGGGUGAUCUGCCCUGCACUUCGGGAUAAGCUUGGGAAACUGGGUCUAAUACCGGAUAGGAGCCAUCUUUAGUGUGGUGGUUGGAAAGUUUUUUCUGUGUAGGAUGAGCUCGCGGCCUAUCAGCUUGUUGGUGGGGUAAUGGCCUACCAAGGCGGCGACGGGUAGCCGGCCUGAGAGGGUGUACGGCCACAUUGGGACUGAGAUACGGCCCAG